rnacentral:lncRNA from 1 species
UUUAUUCUUCAAAAAAAUUUUUUUGGGUUUACGAAUAAAAUGGCAACACAGGCAUUGAUAUCUUCUUCAUCUAUUACCUCCUCAGCAGAGGCUGCCAGACAAAUUCUAGGAGCAAGACAUUUUCAACCAAUCAAGAAGGCUUCAUUCGUUGUAAGGGCUACUGCCACUCCACCUGUUAAGGUAACCACCUUUAUUGUUCCUUUCCAUGUAUAAGUAAGGGGCACAUUGAUACAUCUAGUACAUUGCUCUUCAUAUAUAUAUAAUGAUAGCGCUGUUCGAGUCAGAUUUGCAUUUUGACUAUUCCACCAGAUACUAUCACCCAUGAGAACAAGUACGGUGUACUUAUACCCAACAAAGCUUAUAUAGAUGAGAUGAAGUCACCAUGCACUGUUUGCUUCUGCUGGGGAUUUUCAGCCACUUCGAGGUCGUUUGGUUGGGAAACAA